rnacentral:pre_miRNA from 1 species
UGAUGUCCAUGUAAUUUAUAACACAGUGUUAUAAAUUACAUGGACAGGCCA